rnacentral:rRNA from 1 species
GCAUGAUGUCGCAAGACCAAAGCAGGGGAUCGCAAGACCUUGCGCCUUUAGAGGAGCCUAUGUCUGAUUAGCUAGUUGGUAGGGUAAUGGCCUACCAAGGCGACGAUCAGUAACUGGUCUGAGAGGACGAUCAGUCACACGGGAACUGAGACACGGUCCAGACUCCUACGGGAGGCAGCAGUGGGGAAUAUUGGACAAUGGGCGCAAGCCUGAUCCAGCAAUGCCGCGUGUGUGAAGAAGGCCUUCGGGUUGUAAAGCACUUUAGGCCGGGAAGAAAAAAUCAGGGCUAAUAUCCUUGAUCUUGACGGUACCGGAAGAAUAAGCACCGGCUAACUCUGUGCCAGCAGCCGCGGUAAUACAGAGGGUGCGAGCGUUAAUCGGAUUUACUGGGCGUAAAGCGUGUGUAGGUGGUUGUU